rnacentral:rRNA from 1 species
AACUUUCAACAACGGAUCUCUUGGCUCUCGCAUCGAUGAAGAACGCAGCGAAAUGCGAUAAGUAAUGUGAAUUGCAGAUUUCAGUGAAUCAUCGAAUCUUUGAACGCACCUUGCGCUCCUUGGUAUUCCGAGGAGCAUGCCUGUUUGAGUGUCA